rnacentral:lncRNA from 1 species
AUCCCAGCACUUUGGGAGGCCAAAGUGGGCAGAUCACGAGGUCAAGAGAUUGAGACCAUGCUGGCCAACAUGGUGAAACCCCGUCUCUACUAAAAAAAAGAAAACUAAUCCAGCCAGCAGCAUAGAGCUGCCACUACAAACCCCAGGGACGCCCACUCUUCUACCUCUAGGCAGCCUCCAAAAAUCCCCUCUACAGGCUGCACACCUGCCCACCAGAGCAGGGGGGAAGCCACAAAUACCCCUGGACCAGCAUGUCCAGCCCUGCAUGCCCAGCUCAGCAGAGGGGGCCCCAGAUGUCUUUGA